GGGGGUGUGGCUCAGUGAUGGAGUACUUGCCUAGUAUGUGUGAGGCCCUGGGUUCAAUCCCUAGCGCCACCA
rnacentral:tRNA from 1 species